CUCAAAUCCCAUCUUUGAUACCCUUCCAGCUUUUAUCAGAUGUUUCCACUCAAGGCAAGGAUGGAGGAAGGGUGGAACCAGCUCUUGGCUCCUGAUCUCCUCCAGCAGCCUGGAUGAUCUGAGGGACGAGUCAGAGCCCGUUGGCUCAGGAUGGUAGCUGCAGGAGCCAUCCCCACUCUGGUUGCUCAGCUCCAGCCACUGCAAAAGCCAUCACUGAGGAUGGAAGUUCUUCAGGGAGGAGGAAAACCCAGCAACCAGGAGGGGAAGGAAUUUGCUCCCUCCUGAAGAACACACUCAGAAAAAUUGUGCCAGCCAAGUGUGCCCAGAAAUCCUCAUUGAAAUCAUUCUACAUGUGGGGGAUUUUUUAGGCUAAAGUCUAAUUACAGCUAGUCAGUGCUUGAUUUUGGUCCUGUUUCUGUAGCCAUUAAAGGAAUUGU